rnacentral:rRNA from 1 species
GCUCUGUUGUUAGGGAAGAACAAGUGCCGUUCAAAUAGGGCGGCACCUUGACGGUACCUAACCAGAAAGCCACGGCUAACUACGUGCCAGCAGCCGCGGUAAUACGUAGGUGGCAAGCGUUGUCCGGAAUUAUUGGGCGUAAAGGGCUCGCAGGCGGUUUCUUAAGUCUGAUGUGAAAGCCCCCGGCUCAACCGGGGAGGGUCAUUGGAAACUGGGGAACUUGAGUGCAGAAGAGGAGAGUGGAAUUCCACGUGUAGCGGUGAAAUGCGUAGAGAUGUGGAGGAACACCAGUGGCGAAGGCGACUCUCUGGUCUGUAACUGACGCUGAGGAGCGAAAGCGUGGGGAGCGAACAGGAUUAGAUACCCUGGUAGUCCACGCCGUAAACGAUGAGUGCUAAGUGUUAGGGGGUUUCCGCCCCUUAGUGCUGCAGCUAACGCAUUAA